CUGAGCCGGAGGUUGGCCAUGAACUCGGGCAUGGACACAGUGUCCAUCAGCACGAAGUCCGCCUUGCCGAACUCCAGGCUCUCCUGCUCCGCCAUGGCGCCGGCGGACGGGCUCAGGAAAUCUAGAGCCCCCAAAUACCUGGCUGGGUUCCAGGGCUAUGGCUCAAUUUGAGAUGAGUAAACCAGACAGAAGGACCCUGCUCAGGGCUUGCUGCAGCUGCCAACAAGAGAGUGGGAAAGGCUGCCUGAUCAUCUCCGGAGAGAGCAUCUCUGCCAUCAGAAAGCUGACCAUGGUACAGGCUGGGGUGCAAUCUGACCACCAUUAGCAGCUCUCCUUCUUCAGAAGACACCUCUCUGGAUCUCAGUGUCCUCAUUUGUGGAAUAAGACCUCUGGGCUAGACACUUUCCAAGGAAGUUACAACAUAUGCAGAGAUGGCUGAAGAAAUGAAGCAUCGCCAUGGUGUAUAUUCAGACAAGGUAACAGAGAGCAGGUAACAAAUCAAAGUGGAGGAAGAUGGCAUGGGAGGCUUAAAGGUAAAGUGUGAAAUCAUUGUCUAAGGAGUAAGAGAGUGAGACUUGCCUCUGUAUGUGAGUAUAUAGUAUGUCUCUAUGGACAGAUUGCUCGCCAGGAAUGAGUGGCUGCUUAAGGACUCAAAAGCAAAGCCAGUCUUGCUGUUUGACCUUCUCUAGCUGCACGCAUCUGCUCCAGUGACGGUGUAGAGAAUGCAGAGUUUGGGUUCUGCCAAACCGAGUUAGGAAGGAGAGAGGGACAAGGGAGAAGCUCCAUGACGGACUAUGCAGUCCAGGCCAGC